rnacentral:tRNA from 2 species
GCUGGUGUAGCUCAACAUGGCAGAGCAACUGACUUGUAAUCAGUAGGUUGCAGGUUCAAUUCCUGUUACCAGCU